UGAUGUCUACCGAUCAAGAAAGUGAUCAGAGAAGAAACUGAAGCUCCAACAGUUCAAAUGUCUGAAGUCACCUACGUGGAUGAUUUGUGGAAGAAGAGGAGGGAGCAAUGAUCACAGUAUGUAAAUGCUAAGAAACUGAGGUCCAGAGCCACAGAGUGCCUUCUGCAAACAUAAAGAAGAAUUCUGUUUGCUAAACUCUUUGGGCCAUGAUGAUUCAUAGUACUGGUGGUGGAAUUUGGUAUGUAUUUGUGUGUGUGUCUCUGUGCACACAUAUUUAUGUUUAUGCUUGCAAGUACUUUGUCAGAAUGAAAUGUUUAGGCUACACUUACUACCCACCUGAUUUUAAUUAAUGUUACCAGAUAUUUACUGAAAUCAUCAAAGUUUUUAAUUUAGAGAUAAUUUGGCAAAGGGCAAUUUGCUGCUAUUUACAUUUAAAUAGUUGUGAAAAAAUGCACUGAUGUUUUCCCAGACAGACCCCAGGGCAGUUUCAUGUUCAAGCUCUGGAAGACCUGCUCCCCUUGAAUGUGGGAGGGACC